rnacentral:misc_RNA from 1 species
UACGGAGGGGGUUAGCGUUGUUCGGAAUUACUGGGCGUAAAGCGCGCGUAGGCGGAUUGGAAAGUUGGGGGUGAAAUCCCGGGGCUCAACCCCGGAACUGCCUUCAAAACUACCAGUCUAGAGGUCGAGAGAGGAAAGUGGAAUUCCGAGUGUAGAGGUGAAAUUCGUAGAUAUUCGGAAGAACACCAGUGGCGAAGGCGACUCGCUGGACAGGUAUUGACGCUGAGGUUCGAAAGCGUGGGGAGCAAACAGG